UACGUAGGGUGCAGGCGUUAAUCGGAAUUACUGGGCGUAAAGCGUGCGCAGGCGGUUUGCUAAGACAGGUGUGAAAUCCCCGGGCUUAACCUGGGAACUGCGCUUGUAACUGGCAAGCUGGAGUGUGGCAGAGGGGGGUGGAAUUCCACGUGUAGCAGUGAAAUGCGUAGAGAUGUGGAGGAACACCGAUGGCGAAGGCAGCCCCCUGGGCUAACACUGACACUCAUGCACGAAAGCGUGGGGAGCAAACAGG
rnacentral:rRNA from 1 species